UCUCUUCAGGCAUGCAUAUAUAUAUAUAUAUAUAUAUAUAUAUAUAUAUAUAUAUAUGCAUGCCUGAAAGCAUU
rnacentral:miRNA from 1 species